rnacentral:rRNA from 1 species
GAUGAACGCUGGCGGCGUGCUUAACACAUGCAAGUCGAACGGGAAAUAUUUCAUUGAGACUUCGGUGGAUUUGAUUUAUUUCUAGUGGCGGACGGGUGAGUAACGCGUGGGUAACCUGCCUUAUACAGGGGGAUAACAGUCAGAAAUGGCUGCUAAUACCGCAUAAGCGCACAGAGCUGCAUGGCUCAGUGUGAAAAACUCCGGUGGUAUAAGAUGGACCCGCGUUGGAUUAGCUAGUUGGUGGGGUAACGGCCCACCAAGGCGACGAUCCAUAGCCGGCCUGAGAGGGUGAACGGCCACAUUGGGACUGAGACACGGCCCAGACUCCUACGGGAGGCAGCAGUGGGGAAUAUUGCACAAUGGGGGAAACCCUGAUGCAGCGACGCCGCGUGAAGGAAGAAGUAUCUCGGUAUGUAAACUUCCAUCAGCAGGGAAGAUAGUGACGGUACCUGACUAAGAAGCCCCGGCUAACUACGUG